AUGGAGAUUUUGCUUAUUUUAAAUUUGUUUUAAUUAAUAAUCAUAAUAAUACUGUUGUUAAUGGUGCCAAAGGGCAUCAGAAUAUGCCACGCCAAAAUAUGGCACUUCAGCAUGACCGUUAUUUUCAGCUGAAGACAAUUGAGAAUCAACAGCUUCAGGAAGAAUUCUCUAGAACUCCCCUUAUCUGCAUAAAAGCAGUGCAUGAAUUUCCCUUUGUGAAGGUUUCUGCCCCCACCCCCAACUCCUGUAUCAGGAAGAAGAGAGGGACUCUUAUCACUGGUGAUAGUCAACACCCAGAAGCGUUUGCAUAAACAGAUCAACCACAACAACCCUUAUCUUCUAUCAGUUUCCCCAUGUAUUUCCAAGUCACUUCCCCACACUGUGUCAUCCCUUGAAGCCCAAGCCCCUUCCCCUUUGUUACAAUGAUGCACAAACCUUGAGUCUAACUGCUUCUUUGUGUUUUACUUCUUUUUGGUGAAUUCCUGUGCAUGUAAAUAUUAAUAAAAAUAGUGUGUCUUUUCUCCUGUUAA